UAGGGAAUCUUCCACAAUGGGCGAAAGCCUGAUGGAGCAACGCCGCGUGUGUGAUGAAGGGUUUCGGCUCGUAAAACACUGUUGUAAGAGAAGAAUGACAUUGAGAGUAACUGUUCAGGUAUUGACGGUAUUUAACCAGAAAGCCACGGCUAACUACGCGCCAG
rnacentral:rRNA from 1 species